UUUAAUUCAAUGUUUUUUUUUUAAAUAGCAGAUCAGUAACUAACACCUGUGCUAAUCUGUGUGCUAAUCUGUGUGGUAAUCAGUGUAAUCUCAGUCACCUGGGUUGAAGUACCUCUCUCACUCACUCCAUCUUUGUCAGGGCAGCGGUGUAGGCGAUGCAGGAGCACAAACAACAAAUGUACCACCACCCUUCCAUUACUGGAACUACACCCAAACCAACGGACGUCUACAUGAGAAACUGCUGAUUUGAACAAACACCUUCUGAAGUCUCUCUCUCUCUCUCUCUCUCUCUCUCUCUCUCUUUCUUCUGACAAAUAUCUAUUAAAAGCUGUUGCUGACGUCAAAAGUGUCCGCCAUCUUUGACGAGAGCUGCACUGCCUCCCCCCUGCCCCUCCCUGCCUCCCGCCCUCCCCCAUUGAAGAAGAAACGCGGAGGAAUGAGACGACGCGC